rnacentral:rRNA from 1 species
UACGAAGGGGGCUAGCGUUGCUCGGAAUCACUGGGCGUAAAGCGCACGUAGGCGGAUUGUUAAGUCAGGGGUGAAAUCCUGGAGCUCAACUCCAGAACUGCCUUUGAUACUGGCGAUCUUGAGUCCGGGAGAGGUGAGUAGAACUGCGAGUGUAGAGGUGAAAUUCGUAGAUAUCGGGAGGAACACCUGUGGCGAAGGCGGCCAUCUGGACGGUAACUGACGCUGAGGCGCGAAAGCGUGGGGAGCAAACAGG